rnacentral:rRNA from 1 species
UAAGGAAUAUUGGUCAAUGGACGCAAGUCUGAACCAGCCAUGCCGCGUGGAGGAUUAAGGCCCUCUGGGUUGUAAACUCCUUUUAUCUGGGAAGAAAUGUACUUUUUCUUGAGUACUUGACGGUACCAGAGGAAUAAGCACCGGCUAACUCCGUGCCAGCAGCCGCGGUAAUACGGAGGGUGCAAGCGUUAUCCGGAUUCACUGGGUUUAAAGGGUGCGUAGGUGGGCAGGUAAGUCAGUGGUGAAAUCUCCGGGCUUAACCCGGAAACUGCCGUUGAUACUAUUUGUCUUGAAUAUUGUGGAGGUAAGCGGAAUAUGUCAUGUAGCGGUGAAAUGCUUAGAUAUGACAUAGAACACCAGUUGCGAAGGCAGCUUACUACACAAUCAUUGACGCUGAGGCACGAAAGCGUGGGGAUCAAACA